UCCGAGUUGACCCCGGCAGUCUCUCACGAGUCCCCACCAUUACGUGCUGGCAACAUGAGACAAGGGUUGCGCUCGUUGCGGGACUUAACCCAACAUCUCACGACACGAGCUGACGACAGCCAUGCAGCACCUGUCUCGCGAUUCCCAAAGGCACCAAGGCAUUUCUGCCAAGUUCCGCGGAUGUCAAGGCCAGGUAAGGUUCUUCGCGUUGCAUCGAAUUGAACCACAUGCUCCACCGCUUGUGCGGGUCCCCGUCAAUUCCCUUGAGUUUCAAUCUUGCGAUCGUACUUCCCAGGUGGGAUACUUAAUGCUUUCGCUCAGACACCAACAGUGUAUCGCUGAUGUCGAGUAUCCAUAGUUUAGGGCGUGGACUAC
rnacentral:misc_RNA from 1 species